rnacentral:rRNA from 1 species
UGGGGAAUCUUGCGCAAUGGGCGAAAGCCUGACGCAGCCAUGCCGCGUGGAUGAUGAAGGUCUUAGGAUUGUAAAAUCCUUUCACCGGUGAAGAUAAUGACUGUAGCCGGAGAAGAAGCCCCGGCUAACUUCGUGCCAGCAGCCGCGGUAAUACGAAGGGGGCUAGCGUUGCUCGGAAUUACUGGGCGUAAAGGGUGUCGAGGCGGUUGUAUUAGUCGUUCGUAAAAUCUACGAGCUUAACUUGUAGGCGGCGAACGAAACGGUACGACUUGAGGUUUGGAGAGGUGCGUGGAACUCACGGUGUAGGGGUGAAAUCCGUUGAUAUCGUGGGGAACACCAAAGGCGAAGGCAGCGCACUGGCCAAAAUCUGACGCUCACACACGAAAGCUAGGGUAGCGAAGAGGAUUAGAUACCCCAGUAGUCCCUGAGCGGGCUGGCAAGGCGCAU